CCUACGGGAGGCAGCAGUGAGGAAUAUUGGUCAAUGGCCGCAGGGCUGAACCAGCCAAGUCGCGUGAAGGAUGACUGCCCUACGGGUUGUAAACUUCUUUUGUCAGUGAAUAAAGGGCGCCACGUGUGGCGCUUUGCGAGUACUUGAAGAAAAAGCAUCGGCUAACUCCGUGCCAGCAGCCGCGGUAAUACGGAGGAUCCGAGCGUUAUCCGGAUUUCUUGGGUUUAAAGGGAGCGUAGAUGGGUUGUUAAGUCAGUUGUGAAAGUUUGCGGCUCAACCGUAAAAUUGCAAUUGAUACUGGCAGCCUUGAGUACAGUUGAGGUAGGCGGAAUUCGUGGUGUAGCGGUGAAAUGCUUAGAUAUCACGAAGAACUCCGAUUGCGAAGGCAGCCUACUAAACUGCCACUGACAUUGAUGCUCGAAAGUGUGGGUAUCAAACAGGAUUAGAUACCCUAGUAGUC
rnacentral:rRNA from 1 species